GUUUAAUGAUGAAUAUUUCAGUUCUGCUUCUGAGUUCUUGUGAAGAUACUAUACCAAUCUUCUGAUGU